rnacentral:rRNA from 1 species
GUGUCAGCCGCCGCGGUAAUACAGAGAGUGCAAACGUUGUUCGGAAUUACUGGGCUUGAAGCGCACGUAGGCGGCGUUGUAAGUGUCGGGUGAAAUCCCACGGCUCACCCGUGGAACUGCCCGGCAUACUGCGAUGCUAGAGUGUGGUAGGGGAGAGCGUAACUCCUGGUGGAGCGGUGAAAUGCUUAGAUAUCAGGAGGAACACCGGUGGCGAAGGCGGCUCUCUGGUCCACAACUGACGCUGAGGUGCGAAAGCUAGGGGAGCAAACGGGAUUAGAUACCCGCGUAGUCC